GGAAGCAAAAGUCGUAACAAGGUUUCCGUAGGUGAACCUGCGGAAGGAUCAUUAUCGAGUUUUGACUGGGUUGUAGCUGGCCUUCCGAGGCAUGUGCACGCCCUGCUCAUCCACUCUACACCUGUGCACUUACUGUGGGUAUCAGAUCGUGAAGCGUGCUCUUUUACCGGAGCUUGUGAAGCGUGUCUGUGCCUGCGUUUAUCACAAACACUCUAAAGUAUCAGAAUGCGUAUUACGAUGUAACGCAUCUAUAUACAACUUUCAGCAACGGAUCUCUUGGCUCUC
rnacentral:misc_RNA from 1 species